UUUAUGUUUAUGCUGUGCAGUAAUGGAAAAUAACGAAGUUAAAAGUGGCCUUUUUAGUGAAUAAAUCGGUUGAAUGUAUUCAUUCAGGUGGGUUGCUGUGCUAUGUGGCAACAAUCUUUACGGCGAAAGAUUGUCCCAUAGCAAACCCAUAACGGUCCCGGGACACCGUGAAAGUCACCUUGACGCUGCAAGAUGAAAUCAGUUUGGCCAAUAAAAUCAAUUGGGCGAUCCUCUCCCAACAGCUCCACAGGUGGAGUGAGAUGAGGGCAAAUUGAUUUAACCCCUCGCCUCC